rnacentral:rRNA from 1 species
CCUACGGGGUGCAGCAGUGGGGAAUAUUGCGCAAUGGGCGAAAGUCUGACGCAGCGACGCCGCGUGGGGGAAUGAAGGUCUUCGGAUUGUAAACCCCUGUCAUGUGGGAGUAAAUUAAAAAGAUAGUACCACAAGAGGAAGAGAUGACUAACUCUGUGCCAGCAGCCGCGGUAAUACGUAGGGGGCGAGCGUUAUCCGGAUUCACUGGGUGUAAAGGGAGCGUAGACGGCCAUGCAAGCCAGGGGUGAAAGCCCGGGGCCCAACCCCGGGACUGCACUUGGAACUGCAUGGCUGGAGUGCGGGUGGGGCAGGCGGAAUUCCUGGUGUAGCGGUGAAAUGCGUAGAUAUCAGGAGGAACACCGGCGGCGAAGGCGGCCUGCUGGACUGCGACUGACGUUGAGGCUCGAAAGCGUGGGGAGCGAACAGGAUUAGAUACCCGAGUAGUC